ensembl:lncRNA
GUGGGGAGAGAGAAACAGAGAGGAGAGAGACAGAGAUAAACAGAAGGAGGAGAGAGAAACAGAGAGGAGAGAGACAGAGAUAAACAGAGUGGGGAGAGAGAAACAGAGAGGAGAGAGACAGAGAUAAACAGAGAGGAGAGAGACAGAGAUAAACAGAGUGGGGAGAGAGAAACAGAGAGGAGAGAGACAGAGAUAAACAGAGAGGGGAGAGAGAAACAGAGAGGAGAGAGACAGAGAUAAACAGAGAGGGGAGAGAGAAACAGAGAGGAGAGAGAGAGAGAUAAACAGAGAGGAGAGAGAGAGAUAAACAGAGAGGAGAGAGACAGAGAAACAGAGAGGAGAGAGAAACAGAGAGGAGAGAGAAACAGAGAGGAGA